UUUCUAGUCUUCUCACCAGUGAGCUCCUUACUAGUAAAGCAUGCCUCUUUUUUUGCCUACAGAUUUAUUUCCUCCAGAGGCAGUAAGUCCUCUGUCCGAAGAUUCCAGUCAGGGGUUGAGGGCCACUUUUACCAGCAGCGUUUCUCAAUGCCCUCCAGCAUCAGAUGAAGACAAGCUUUAUAAGGUCCCUUAGACUCACUGAGGCUUCAGAGAAACUCGUACAACUUCGGCAUCUUACCUGUGGCUUUUGAAACAUUGAAAGAAUGCGCUCCUGGCCCCUAAAUGUUGCCCAUGUCUCAAUGGGGUUUUGGAGCAAGGAAAGAAACAAAAGGCUCUUGGGCAACCAACAUCAGCCUGGAAGGCCAGAACUUCAUGUAUUAUACAGAACACUAUGGAGACUUGCCUCCAGUACUUUUCCUCAGGCAUUCUUCAAUCUUCUUUGACCAAGAAGAUAGAGUUUGGAUGGAUGUAAACAGAGGACUGGGCUUUUCCUGAAGUCAGAAAUUCAGAGCUCGGGAAAGAUUCUGCAGGUACAGAGAUUAUCCAGUACUGGCUGUGAAGAUAAUGGGAGUCAUAGGACAAGGAAAGCAAACAGCCUCUAUGAGCACAGUGGGCUCCCAAAAAAUAGUCCACGAGGAAGCACGUUCUUUCCUACCGACACCACAAGAGGUUGAAUUCUUCCCAUAACCUGAAUGAACUUGAAAGGGAUCCUACCUGAGAGCAUCCAAUGAGAACUCUGUUUGGCUGACACCUUGAUUUCAGCCUUAGAAUCGGUGGAUUCUGACCAGGACCAGUGGAUGAUGAAUACUGAGGCCAUCACUCAAUGCCUGGACUCAUUGACAAAGGGGUGUUGUUUUAGGUCACUAAAUUUGUGAUGAUUUGUUACAUGGUAAUAGAAAAGUAAUGUAAACCACUUGGAAUAUAGCUUAUUGCAAUCAAUUCAUAUUUAUAGUAAUUAUUAUUUAUAUCAAUAUUUAAUUCUUAAGGGCUAAUGAAAAUAUAAAAGAAUAUGCAUGGUUAUGAAUCAAAUACCCACACAUCCUAGUUAGCACACAAACGCUGUGCAUACUUAUAAUAUUGCCACGAUUAAGAAGUGUGGUAAGUAUUUUAGUAAAAUACACCCUUGAACUGUGAUUCCUAUUUUUAACUAUUUGGAUUUUGAGAGAAGAAACAUUUCUGCUUAUUUAUCAAAAGGACAUAAAAUACCUUCAAAACUUGUGUAAGCAGUUUUGCAUAUUUUCUCUCUGAACUAAUAAUUUUUAAAGCCAUUUAAAUUUCUCAAAUGCUUUAAGGUAAAUACUAUUAGUCUUUUACAUCGAUGUGGUAGGACAUGUAUCUAAGUCAUGCUGCUUUAUCCAUGACCCGUCUUUGAUGAUUCAUCCAGUUUGACAAGUAACUGUCUGCUUUUGAGCUCUUUGGUUUGCAUCAACAGUGAGAUGAAAUGAGACUUGAACAACAUGUACUAUUGAAGCAAAAUAUCAUACAAUCAUUGUAUUGUUAGAAAAAUAAAGCUUUGUAAUGGACAAAAA